UCCCGUGCGCGAGGAUCUGCCGCUGCGGCGCCCACGCCACCACCUUCCCGAACGAAUUCGUCCGAUCGACAAUCCGAUCGGGAAGGAUUUCAUCGCCUGCUGCUUAUUCUGUUGAAGUAUUGUCUCCACCGACUUAGUUGGAGGAUUCUAGAGGGAUCAAGAUUGAGAGAAAUGGAUAGGGCUAAGUAGAUAUUAUUAUUUAAUGUAUAGUGUUAGUAACUAGAAUUCUCUAGAGUAAUUAGUGUCGGUUCUUAACCGACUUAGUUAACUAUAUAUAUGGGCAUUAGGCCAUUUGUAAUGAGUGUACACAAGAGAGUGAGUGAGUGCACUAGUUAAGUGUGCGUGAGUGUGUACGAGAGUUAGUGUGCGAGGUGUGUCCUCGUAGAGCUAGAGGUGUGUCCUCGGGUGUCUUGUGAGGUGUGUCCUCCAAGAGUCGUAGUAUUGUGUUGGUGUUGUGUAAUUCUGUAUUGGUGUUUCGUACACCGUUGUCGGGAGCUUAAUAAAAUUCCAUUUGUGUGUUGA